UGGCUCAGGAUGAACGCUGGCGGCGUGCUUAACACAUGCAAGUCGAACGAUGAUGCCAGCUUGCUGGUGGAUUAGUGGCGAACGGGUGAGUAACACGUGAGUAACCUGCCCUUGACUCUGGGAUAAGCCUGGGAAACUGGGUCUAAUACCGGAUAUGACUGAUCAUCGCAUGGUGGUUGGUGGAAAGCUUUUGUGGUUUUGGAUGGACUCGCGGCCUAUCAGCUUGUUGGUGGGGUAAUGGCCUACCAAGGCGACGACGGGUAGCCGGCCUGAGAGGGUGACCGGCCACACUGGGACUGAGACACGGCCCAGACUCCUACGGGAGGCAGCAGUGGGGAAUAUUGCACAAUGGGCGAAAGCCUGAUGCAGCGACGCCGCGUGAGGGAUGACGGCCUUCGGGUUGUAAACCUCUUUCAGUAGGGAAGAAGCGUAAGUGACGGUACCUGCAGAAGAAGCGCCGGCUAACUACGUGCCAGCAGCCGCGGUAAUACGUAGGGCGCAAGCGUUAUCCGGAAUUAUUGGGCGUAAAGAGCUCGUAGGCGGUUUGUCGCGUCUGCCGUGAAAGUCCGGGGCUCAACUCCGGAUCUGCGGUGGGUACGGGCAGACUAGAGUGAUGUAGGGGAGACUGGAAUUCCUGGUGUAGCGGUGAAAUGCGCAGAUAUCAGGAGGAACACCGAUGGCGAAGGCAGGUCUCUGGGCAUAA
rnacentral:rRNA from 1 species